UGGGGAAUAUUGCACAAUGGGCGCAAGCCUGAUGCAGCCAUGCCGCGUGUAUGAAGAAGGCCUUCGGGUUGUAAAGUACUUUCAGCGGGGAGGAAGGGAGUAAAGUUAAUACCUUUGCUCAUUGACGUUACCCGCAGAAGAAGCACCGGCUAACUCCGUGCCAGCAGCCGCGGUAAUACGGAGGGUGCAAGCGUUAAUCGGAAUUACUGGGCGUAAAGCGCACGCAGGCGGUUUGUUAAGUCAGAUGUGAAAUCCCCGGGCUCAACCUGGGAACUGCAUCGGAUACUGGCAAGCUUGAGUCUCGUAGAGGGGGGUAGAAUUCCUGGUGUAGCGGUGAAAUGCGUAGAGAUCUGGAGGAAUACCGGUGGCGAAGGCGGCCACCGGGACGAAGACUGACGCUCGGGUGCGAAAGCGUGGGGAGCAAACAGG
rnacentral:rRNA from 1 species